AUUUAGACGACCAAAAGUCAUCUCAACACCCGGAAGUCGCUGGUAGACAGCCACUACAGGUAGAGUUAACCCUAGCAGGUAAUUAUUGCAGUUUCUCAGAAGGGACAUGGCACCCAGACCACUUCAAUGAGCUGAAGUGGUCUGCAUGCCUACAGUGUCCCUUUAAACCAUUCAAGACAUGGUAGGACUAUCAGAAUUGUGCCGACUCUCUUUGUGUGUGGGCUACUAAGGAUGCAUUAGCUCAAACAGCACAAGGGUGGAAGAAACUGGAUGAAAGUAAC